GGAUUUCUUCGGAUUGAAGUUUUUGUGACUGAGUGGCGGACGGGUGAGUAACGCGUGGGUAACCUGCCUCAUACAGGGGGAUAACAGUUAGAAAUGACUGCUAAUACCGCAUAAGCGCACAGUGCUGCAUGGCACAGUGUGAAAAACUCCGGUGGUAUGAGAUGGACCCGCGUCUGAUUAGCUAGUUGGUGGGGUAACGGCCUACCAAGGCGACGAUCAGUAGCCGGCCUGAGAGGGUGAACGGCCACAUUGGGACUGAGACACGGCCCAAACUCCUACGGGAGGCAGCAGUGGGGAAUAUUGCACAAUGGGGGAAACCCUGAUGCAGCGACGCCGCGUGAGCGAAGAAGUAUUUCGGUAUGUAAAGCUCUAUCAGCAGGGAAGAAAAUGACGGUACCUGACUAAGAAGCACCGGCUAAAUACGUGCCAGCAGCCGCGGUAAUACGUAUGGUGCAAGCGUUAUCCGGAUUUACUGGGUGUAAAGGGAGCGUAGACGGUUGUGUAAGUCUGAUGUGAAAGCCCGGGGCUCAACCCCGGGACUGCAUUGGAAACUAUGUAACUAGAGUGUCGGAGAGGUAAGCGGAAUUCCUAGUGUAGCGGUGAAAUGCGUAGAUAUUAGGAGGAACACCAGUGGCGAAGGCGGCUUAC
rnacentral:rRNA from 1 species